AUUGAACGCUGGCGGCAGGCCUAACACAUGCAAGUCGAGCGAGUGGCGGACGGGUGAGUCAUGUCUGGGGAACUGCCCGAUGGAGGGGGAUAACUACUGGAAACGGUGGCUAAUACCGCAUACCUUCGGAUGAACCCAUAUGGGAUUAGCUUGUGGGUGGGGUAAAGGCUCACCCAGGCGACGAUCCCUAGCUGGUCUGAGAGGAUGAACAGCCACACUGGAACUGAGACACGGCCCAGAAUCCGACGUGAGGCAGCAGUGGGGAAUAUUGCACAAUGGGCGCAAGCCUGAUGCAGCCAUGCCGCGUGUAUGAAGAAGGCCUUAGGGUUGUAAAGUACUUUCAGCGGGGAGGCGUUACCCGCAGAAGAAGCACCGGCUAACUCCGUGCCAGCAGCCGCGGUAAUAC
rnacentral:rRNA from 1 species